rnacentral:rRNA from 1 species
GAUGAACGCUGGCGGCGUGCCUAAUACAUGCAAGUCGAGCGAACAGAUGAGGAGCUUGCUCCUCUGACGUUAGCGGCGGACGGGUGAGUAACACGUGGAUAACCUACCUAUAAGACUGGGAUAACUUCGGGAAACCGGAGCUAAUACCGGAUAAUAUAUUGAACCGCAUGGUUCAAUAGUGAAAGACGGUUUUGCUGUCACUUAUAGAUGGAUCCGCGCCGCAUUAGCUAGUUGGUAAGGUAACGGCUUACCAAGGCAACGAUGCGUAGCCGACCUGAGAGGGGGGUCGGCCACACUGGAACUGAGACACGGUCCAGACUCCUACGGGAGGCAACAGUAGGGAAUCUUCCGCAAAGGGCGAAAGCCUGACGGAGCAACGCCGCGUGAGUGAUGAAGGUCUUCGGAUCGUAAAACUCUGUUAUUAGGGAAGAACAAAUGUGUAAGUAACUAUGCACGUCUUGACGGUACCUAAUCAGAAAGCCACGGCUAACUACGUG